GGGACGGUGGGAGGUCUCUGCCACUUUCCAAACCGUCUCCGUCAGACGGACUGUUCACCGCCGCUACCCCCGACCUGCUCCGCAGUCCGCACCAGCCAUGGCGGUUCCUUUUCCUCGGAGGCCAGCGGAGCAUGUCAAUCUAUCCCUGCGGCGGCGAACUAGCUACGGUGGCUUUGCAGAAGGAGAAUAGGUCGUCACGCCAGCGGGAUCCAAUUGAGCGGAAGCGGCAGCGCCAAGUCUGACCUCGACCUCAACGCCAGGGCGGCGCUCGGUCAUGUCGACGCGCUCCGCGAGCUCAGGACGGUGUUUCUCUCCUCUCCCACCCUCGUCUCCUUGGUUGAAAAGGAUCCAGAGAUCUCGCCGGCCACCGUUGAGUCAUCAUGGUAUAUGUAUCAUCGACCUCCUCUUCUAUUUGUUCACUUCUCCUAAUUCAUGCGCCCAUGAGCUCAAGCUCCGCGCCUUGCCUCUCUCGAACAUGACUGCUUCCACCCCUCUGGUGAAUUUACCUAUUUUUGAUAGACUAAUUUUUUUUGUGUCGUCAAGAGUGCAUCAGAUUAUUUGUGUUAUGAGUUUGGCAUCUAAACGGGGUUGGUAAGUUGUGAUGGGCAAUCACUUGUGAAGGAUUUACUCGUGCAAGUUGUGAUGAUAGCAGGACGAAAUUACCAUGCUAUGUGAAAUUAAAAUACUUAUUAUGCUAAGGUCACAUAAUAUGAGAAUUUGUCCUGUGGCGUCUGCGACAACACUAGCAUGGCUGCGAUCUCAGUAUCUAGCUGGUUGCAAUUUUCCUCAGCUUGUAGUUUGGGUACUGGCUAGAUUUUAAUUUUGUUGUAAGUUCUUCUGUUGUUUCCUGAUUCUCAAGGAGAUGCCAAUAUCCAAUCCCAAAGAAAGGUAUAUGUCUCCAACUAGUGUUGUUUCUAGAUGUUGUUUCCUUAGAUUGAAGCACGACUCGUUCUUUAGUUCAAGAGUUCAAUAUUUUUGUUGUAGGGAUCCAGGUGAGGCCUCACCAGAUCUACCUACUGUCAUCAAUGAUGAUGAACUCCAUCAAAAUAUACUACUUUUUCCUCUGCAGAAUUCUCCUUUUGUGAAUCAACUUUGGCCUGAUAGCCUUAUCAAACCCAUUGGAUUUUCCUUGCCCUUUUUUUGGGAAGCAAUGGGAGAAAGAAUUUGUUCCAGAAUAUAGAUGCAGCAGCUGCAAGGACCGUGAGGAAGCACAUGGUGCUGUAUUGCGGUAAUGCCGGGAUGCUCAUGUCACCUAUGAGAACGAGCACUUCCAGAAGAACGUUCAGCUGCUCAACCUGUUGAUGAUCGCCGCGAAUUCAGAAGCCCAACUGAAGCUGCCAGUUCCAUAAUAAGUUGAAGAACUCUAAAUUUUUAUGCCAUGGAUUGAACAUGUCAUUCAGCUAACUUUGGUUAUCCAGUCUGACAAAAAGCAAAAUUUGUAACAAAAGGGCAAAGAUUUCACCGGCAUAUUUUUCAUGAUGUAUAGUGAAUACUUGAUUGGGGUGCAAUGCAUUUACCUUUCAAAAUAUUCUAUUGAUAAAAUCGUUCCAUGUGA